UUGUUAUCUGAAGUUCAAUUAUACGUUUUUAUAUUCAAAUUGAAAUUCUUAAUUCUGUUUAAUACCUCAGCACAAAUUAAAUUCAAAAAUAGGAACUUAAAAUGCAUUCUAAAUUCAAAUCUGUAUGACACACAACCCUGGAUUAGUUACAAUGACUGAUGCGAUGACAUGGAAUGCUUUAAUCGGCACUUCUAACAAUUAGCUAAUCGCAGCUGCUGCAAUUGUAAUCUUGAUUAUAUUUUCGAUUACUUGUGCAGUCUUACAUCUGGCUAUUUAUCAGGUGAAGUUGCUGGCAUUGCGGGACCUGACAGGUCUACCCUGGAGCCACGGCCUGCUGUGUGGAUAGCAGCCAAACAGCACUGCAGAGAUUUACCUUUAAAAUAUAUAAGAAUGAGAGGAGGGAGCUCCUCAGAAUAGAUGAACGCGAUCCUCCCUUAUCUCCAUCUUCAUGACCAUCCCUACAGCAAGGGCAGCGGCUGAUUGUGAUGAAUGGAUAAAGAAGCGAUGACAAAAAAAUGAGGCUGUCAAGCUUUUAGCAGAUGUUGUGAUCUAUCUAUGCCAUCUAUGGGACAGUGGACUGAGUUGAGGAUACUGAAGACCCCAGAUGUUGGACCACUGAGACACAGCUGCUGUAUUCUCUGCCUGAGAAAUUUUUUAAUGAUGAGCCCAGGGGCGGAUUCCCCAGAUGAUCUGCUGCUCACUACACUCAUGCUCAACACGAACCGAAGGUCACUUGAUAGAGAGACAAGAAAGAAGAGGAAUGAAGGAAAGUCUCUACAUCCAUAAGUCUGGCUAAAUCCUCUCCAUCUCUAUUUCAUUCGUAGUCUUGCAAAGCCAUGCUUUUUAAAGUCUGGUUCACAGACUGCAUCAUAUUCUAGACACUUAGAGAGGAAGAGACCUGUCUAGACAAAAUGUAAAGGGAUCAACCAUAGACUGUUUUAUUUUUAUAUACCAUUUAGGGAAAUAGGGAUUAUUUCUGUAAAUUUGUUCUAUAGUUUUAAUUUUUAUUUUCAUGAACUAUAAUAA
ensembl:lncRNA